UUUGUGAGUAAAUACAGUCUGUGCAAUCCAAUAAUUUAUUAAACUUUCAUAUUGUAAAGCCAGUUACAAAUUAAAAAAGACAGCAGAAGGAAUUCUGUAAUAGAAAUAAGCAAAAUUACAACAAAUAGUAAUGGGAGUUACAUUUCCAAGUGGGUUCAAGCUGCCUGCAGCAACCCAAGAGCCAGAACACAGAGCUAGUGCAGAGUUAGGACAGGGAUAAUCAAGGCUAUUCUGAUACAUAAAGAGAUCUAGUCAGUGUAUGGACCAAUACAAAGUGUUGCUUCUCAGGUUGCCUCCGCAUUCCUGUUCUCUCUCACUUGUGACCUGGUCAUCUUUUCAUUCUUUGUGACAAGAAGGGGAUGUUUGUAGGAUCCUUCAGUAAAGCUAUUUAAGGCAAAACUCCAGUUGAAGUUACAAUGUACAGCAGUGGCUAUCCUCUUAGACUGGUUGUGUGGCAGGUGGACAGAGUGUCUGCACAUGCUGCAGUGCAGUGGAAAUGAGAGAAAAGCAUGGGUUAUGUACAGGGGGGCUUCUUGUACUGUCAAGCUCAAAACUACGGUGUUCUGCAGCACAGUAUUAGUGACAUGGCACAAUCUGAUAACGAAUUCAAACAGAAGCCGUUGCAUACUGACUCCUAGGGUUUUUACUAUGAAAUUUCUAUUUCAUAGCUAACAAACAGGCCUUAUCUGCCACUUCUAUGGAAAUGGAGAUGUCUGAUUUCAAACACGGAACAAGGCCCGCAUCACAUACAGCACUUCAGUUUCAUUAAGAAACUGAAUGGGCCUUUGCAUGCUAGGAUCCCACAACUUAACAAGGGUCAUAGUAAAUGGCUAGCCACCAAGUUUCUUGAUUACUGAUGCAACCAAUUUAUGAUGUGACUGAUACUGAAUAUUGUUUUAAACUAUGAAAUCAAGUUUCUGAAGUCAAGAGACUGAAGAUGACUGUCAUCUUUCACUGAGAAAAAAGAAUUCUGUUUCUUCAAAUUGCGAGUAGCUAUAAAACCCUCCAAGAAGCAGUUGUUUUGGCAAAACAGGUUUGUUUUCAAGUUUUGCUGAUGACUAGGGACCUAGAGGAGAUUGGAAGUGUAUCUGGGGAUUCACCGAUGGGAUCAGUUCCAAUUAGAAUUGAGAGGAGGAUGAAAGGUUUGGCAUCUGCUUACAGUAGUAUUGGGGAAGUGAGAAUCUUACCUAUAACAAUUUAUCUAGGCAUCUAUUUGCUCUGUAAGAAACAGUUCACUUACUUACUUAAAACUAAAGUUCAGGAAUCCCAGUCAUCCUAAAAUUUCAUAUAAAGAAAGAAUGAACUUAAUGCAGGCAGGCUGCUCACUAUAAAAACCCCUGACCUUCAUCUAAAACUUGGAGUUUGUGAAGAGCAGCUCUUCUGGAGAUGCAGCUAAAUCAAUCUCACCUCCUCAGCUGUAUGGGGGAAAGGCAGUCAUUCAUUUUUAGGCAUUAGGUGCUGUUUGGAAUGUUCUCGGAAUGGUGCCUGCUGACCUGUUUCAGUGGUGUUAGUCCCAAAGGUUUUCUCCUGUGUUGGAGUACUUAGAAUUUUAACUUAAAGUGCCACUUUUUACAGUUGUGUACCUGUGAACUUAUAUUGGAAGGUGAAGAAUCACCCUGGGUGGUUUUAUGUUUGUUUAAUGCUUUCUCAAGUAGGGUUUAACCUCUUAGUUGGCCCAGCUGGCUUCAAUUUUUCAAAGGCAUUUUCUUUUCAGACCAGAUCAGAUCAUUGGUAUAUCCUGAAGAAAAAACCCACAGUGACUUUUAUUUUGGAGUUGCUUGCAAAAUAAAUAAA
ensembl:lncRNA